rnacentral:ncRNA from 1 species
UUUUUUUUUAAUUUAUUAUAUGUUAAGUUUUCUUUUUAAUCUAAAUGAUUUUUUUUUCAAUAUUUAAUUUUAGUUUUUAAUUUACGUUAAAACUAGGAUUUAAAUUAAAGACUGAUUAAAGUUGUGCCAGCAUUCGCGGUUAUACAAUUAGUUUUUGAAAAUAUUUUAGAUUAUGUAUUAAUUAUUUUAUUUAUAUAUAAAAUUUUGGAAAUUGGGUGAAAUUUUUUUUAAUUAUUUUUAUAGGUUAGAGAUAAUAUAUUAAAAUUAUUAUUAAACUAGGAUUAGAUACCCUAUUAUUAUAAUUGUAAAUUUUUUUAUUAUUAAUAGUUAUGUUCUUUAAAUUAAAAGAAUUUGGCGGUUAUUUAAUCUUUCUAGAGGAACUUGUCCUGUAAUUGAUAAUCCACGAUUGUUUUAACUUUGAUUUUAUUUAUAUAUCGUUGUCAUUGAAUGUUUUAUCAGAUUAUCUUCUUUAAUUUUUAUGAAUUUAAUGUCAGAUCAAGAUGUAAUUAUAUCAAAGUAGAGAUGAGUUACAUUUAAAUAUAUUAAUGAAUUAAUUAUAAUUUUUAUUAUUAUGAAAUUGGAUUUAGGUGUAAUUUUUAAUAAAUUUUAAUUUUGAUUUUAGUUCUAAAUAAUGUACAUAUCGCCCGUCACUCCCAUUAUAGAGUUGGGAUAAGUCGUAACAAAGUAGGUCUACCGGAAGGUGGGCCUGGAUAUUAUC